GACGAACGCUGGCGGCGUGCUUAACACAUGCAAGUCGAAGGGAAAGGCCCUGCUUUUGUGGGGUGCUCGAGUGGCGAACGGGUGAGUAACACGUGAGUAACCUGCCCUUGACUUUGGGAUAGCUUCAGGAAACUGGGGCUAAUACCGGAUAGGAGCUCCUGCUGCAUGGUGGGGGUUGGAAAGUUUCGGCGGUUGGGGAUGGACUCGCGGCUUAUCAGCUUGUUGGUGGGGUAGUGGCUUACCAAGGCUUUGACGGGUAGCCGGCCUGAGAGGGUGACCGGCCACAUUGGGACUGAGAUACGGCCCAGACUCCUACGGGAGGCAGCAGUGGGGAAUAUUGCACAAUGGGCGGAAGCCUGAUGCAGCAACGCCGCGUGCGGGAUGAUGGCCUUCGGGUUGUAAACCGCUUUCGCCUGUGACGAAGCGUGAGUGACGGUAAUGGGUAAAGAAGCACCGGCUAACUACGUG
rnacentral:rRNA from 1 species